CUUUUUGUGCAUAAUGUAUAUAUAGGGGGGUGGUAGUACUCUUGGGGUAGACAGGCAUGUGCUGGGAUGGCAUGCCAAGGCAUGUGCUGGGAUGGCAUGCCUUGGCGUGUGCUGGGAUGGCAUGCCAAGGACAAGCAUGUGCUAGGAAGGCAUGCCAAGGCCAAGACAAGGCCAUGGCAAGCACAUGCAUUGCGAGCGAGACGAGAUGGUUACGUUUACCCCAAGAGUGCCCAAGGGAGAGGAAAAGGUGUCAAACGCAUGCUGAGCCCCACUUCGGUAGUUUGGCACCCCCAUAGGCAUUCAGGCAAACAAGCCUAUGGGAGAAGUCUGUUGAGCUUGGCUGCCAUGUUGGGUAUUAUUCUGUGGAUGAGAUGAUGGCACAAGGAUGCUUGCUAGAUAACGUUUUGGCACCAGACCGCAAAUGCUACUUCAAGCUUCAGCGGGUGGAAUCUGCCUAUAGGGCGUUGCUUGCUUGUUGUGGAGUUGGGACACACCCAAUAUCUAUCAUCGACUGACGUAAUACUUGCAUGGCCCCAUAGGUAUUAAGGCAAGCGUGCCUAUGGGAAAAGUCGGUUGAGCUUGUCAACCAUGUUGGGUAUUAUUCUACAGAUGAGAUGAUGGCACAAGGAUGCUUGCUAGGCAACGUUUUGGCACCAGACCGCAAAUGCUACUUCAAGCUUCAGCGGGUGGAAUCUGCCUAUAGGGCGUUGUUUGCUUGCUGUGGAGUUGGGACACGCCCAAUAUCUAUCAUCAACCCAACGAAGUGCUCAACAUGGGUUGCUGAGAGCUAUUUUGGCACAGAUGGUUCACUUGUUUGCUUGGCUUUGAUAAACGUUUAGAUGUCAUGAUGCUUGGGAUCCAAUAAAUUUAUGUGGGAAGCUGAGAGCUGGAACCCAAUGUCAUUCACCAGACGGCUUAGCUUCGUCAGUGUGUAUAAUAUGUCAUUGAACCCCAAUCCUCGAUGCCAACCUGAUUAUGACUUUUGGAUCGCAAUAAUCAUGGCUAUCAAAAACUGAGUAGGAGUCAUGGAAUAAGUGAACAAUUUGUAGCCUUUAUAGCUCUUAGCUUUCGCAUCGCCCGGUGUGUUUUGGGAAUCGCUUUGUUCAUUUGGUUGCCUGCCGUGCCUCUUGGCAUACGGUGGGUGCCACUUGCCGGGUGGUUUUCGGAAACAUCCACCGUAAAGGUGCAUGAGUGGUGUUUGGUUUGUUACGGGUGGUUGGCUCUUUGCUUGUGCAACAACUGCCACCCGACUUACCUCUUCAGAUGUUUGCCUAGGCUUGUAUAGCCUAAGCAGAUUGUGGGUUUCUUGUGUUGCCUACCUACAUCAUGGAAUUGUCCCGAUCGAUCAAAGUUGCUUUCGUCUUGUGUCGUCUUGAUGGCAUAAGAUGAACCAUGAAGCUGUCUCUUUGCACCGCAUCGUUAAUGCAUGCAUUGAUGUUGUGGCCCAUUGAGCAUUGCUUGGUACCUUGGAUACGGAACCUUAUGUGGGCAUGGGUCCUCAGGGAUCCUUUCUGCCCUCGUUUAGCGUUCGCGCUUCUCUUAGAAUGACUGCCCAUCUGGAAUGGGAAGCCAUUCCGGAUGGGCAUUGUCAAAGAGGAAUGCU
rnacentral:misc_RNA from 1 species